AACGAACGCUGGCGGCAGGCCUAACACAUGCAAGUCGAACGCCCUAGCAAUAGGGAGUGGCGCACGGGUGCGUAACACGUGGGAAUAUGCCCUUGACUACGGAACAACGUCGGGAAACUGACGCUAAUACCGUAUAAUUACCCCGGUCCAAAGAUUUAUCGGUCACCGAUUAGCCCGCGUCUGAUUAGGUAGUUGGUGAGGUAAUGGCUCACCAAGCCUACGAUCAGUAGCUGGUCUGAGAGGAUGAUCAGCCACACUGGAACUGCGACACGGUCCAGACUCCUACGGGAGGCAGCAGUGAGGAAUAUUGGACAAUGGGCGCAAGCCUGAUCCAGCCAUGCCGCGUGAGUGAUGAAGGCCUUCGGGUUGUAAAGCUCUUUUAGAGUUGAAGAUUAUGGCGGUAGCAUCAGAAAAAGCCCCGGCUAAAUUCGUGCCAGCCGCCGCUGUAA
rnacentral:rRNA from 1 species